rnacentral:misc_RNA from 1 species
ACGAGUGAGAUACAAAGGGCGACAGCCAUGCCCAGUAUGAGUGAAAUUAUCUGAACCAAUGAACUUCUAAAUGUUGAGCUACUGUUGUUCAUUUCUGCAAGCACUCCAGCAACAGCAAUGUAUAUGAAGCCGCCAGCCGUAAAUCCCUCAAUCAAAGAUGACUGUCCUGGAUCUUGUCCCCAGAGCAAAGCCAAUACAGUUCCUGCUAGAGCCAACAACGCUGAAAGGAAGUUGAAAAAAAGGGCUUUAGUUACACUAAAACCAGAUCUUACCAGAAUUCCAAAAUCUCCCACCUCCUGAGGAAGUUCAUGUGCAAGCAAAAAUAGAGUUCUAGACCAUCCUCCAAUAGACCCAUAGAGGAGAAAUGCAUUUCCUAAAGCCAUUCCAUCAGUAAAAUUGUGAACACCAUCAGAAAACAAAUUGAGAUAACCAAACACCAGAUUUGAUGGUGCCUGACCAACUUCCUUUUUGUUCAGGGAUUUUUU